rnacentral:sRNA from 2 species
UUGCAUUUGAAGCCCAUGAGGAUGAGAACCUCCGGGGGCGGGGAGGUUCGACUCGAGCGAAGCGAGAGAACGUUGCGCCAGCAACGGCCCGCAGGGCGAGCCACGAAGUGG